GGGAAAAAAAGGUUUACUUAAAUACGGCAGAGGGUUCCACAAGUUUUGAGAGCCACGCAAAAAUACUUCCGAUAACCAAAAACCAGGUCUGGCAAUUUAACACGGACACUUCCAAGACUCUGCAAACACAAAGAAAACUUUUAAAGGCUAGAAAAUAAGGCACAGGUGAACACAAUGAAAACAAUCAAGGCUGGAAGGCUGAGGACCCCACAUGGCCCUUCAGGGUACUGUAGUCCAAAAACCCUGACACUAUUAUCAGGAACAUGGAGGCCAUUCCCAGAGAAGAGCCACUAGCUUUACAGAGAUUUACUGUACCAUCUAUUGUAAGAAGGUACAGUCUAUAAGUAUAUUUCUGCUGAUACGCGUCCAUGACUGUAUGCACGGGCCAUCAGAAAUUACCACUUUCUAAGAAGCAAUACAUCAUAAACCAUACAUGUCAUCAUAAACCAACAUCUUUCUGCUCUCCCUCCCCACAGAAGCCUCUGUGGAUGGUGGUUCGACCUGAUGGUGGUUGUCCCUGCAGUGGUCCUGCCGUACACCUGUUCUGCUACUUUCAAUUACUUGUAUCAUUUGUGUUAGAGAAUUUGAAUGUAUUGUACAUCUUUUACAUUGUUGAUUCUGUACACAUGAACUCCAUUGCAGUCUGUCCAUCCCGGGAGAGGGAUCCCUCCUCUGACGUUCUCCCUAAGCGACCACUGAGCUGGAGAAGGGACUUAUGAACCCAACCACUUACAGAUGCGGAAGAUGACCCUUGACGACCCCCUCAUGCUUCAGUGCAGCUUGUUUUAGCGAGUGUCAUGGUGAGGCCAGGCCUCCUGCUGGUGUCAAGCGGAGGGGCGUGGCUCCAAACCAUACUCAUCCUGACACCUGCACUCAAUCAACAAUCACCUGACGUAAUAUCUACCUUGGCUCUUCACCCACUCAUCGCCAGAUCGUUGUUUCCACUCACCUGCCAUCCAUUCCCUGACUCUUCUGCCUCUCUGCCGUUUCCCUGCCUGGAUUCCCCCCUCACCUGGAUUUGCCUGCCAUUCUCCAUCCGCCUCCCUCUGUUGUGAUACGGACAAUAAAUAAGUUUCCCACCGUACCUCCUGGCCUGUCUGCAUUUGGGUCUGACACCACUUACCACAACAGAGAGUUGGGGUAAUUGGGGUUUAACAACGCACGAAAGCAAUGACUUAACCGCUCCGAUUCCUGUGCACUAACACCGUCCUGUCUGCAAACCUCCUUUUGAGCAUUGGUGAAGCCAAUCCAACGCCUCCACGUGCUCGCGGCACUGGGUUCAAGUCACUUUGUCAGUCGGGCGCAUCGAAGGAGCACCAGCCGGAGGAGAGAUGCAGGAUGUAGAGCAACACUGGCAGAUGGAAUAGAGAAACGUGGACGUUGAACAACUUACUCUUAACUGCUGUACUGCUUUGUAACCGCACUCACAACAAGGCACACACAUCUCUCCUCAUCCACUGAUGCAGAGGUGUCAAAAGUAUUCACAUUCAAGGUUUUGAAAAUACUUUUGUAGAAGUGGAAGUAUAAAAGUACUGGUUUUAAAACUACUUAAAGUAAAAGUACUGAAAGGGAAAAAAAUGUCCAUUAAGAACAAACAGUCCGUCAGUCCGUUACAAUAUGAUGGGAAGGUGCCUUCAGGUCACGUGACCUGCCGGAUGAUGGAAACAUGGCGACAUUCAGAGUGGCGACGCUACAACAACAGAGGGACACACGUAUCGA